GUACGGACAAGGGGAAUCCG
rnacentral:snRNA from 1 species